rnacentral:rRNA from 1 species
CUUUUUGAGGGUUUGAUCCUGGCCCAGGAUGAACGCUGGCGGCGUGCCUUAGGCAUGCAAGUAGAACGAGAACUAGUAGCAAUACUAGUUAGAGUUGCGAACGGCUGAGUAACACGUAAGAACCUGCCUCUUGGAGGGGAAUACCUCGUCGAAAGACGGGUUAAUACCGCAUAAGAUCGUAAGAUGAAAGCUUUUGUAGUAAUACAACGGCGCCGAGAGAGGGGCUUGCGGCCCAUCAGCUAGUUGGUAGGGUAAAAGCCUACCAAGGCUACGACGGGUAGGGGGCGUGAGAGCGCGUUCCCCCAGAAUGGCACUGAGAUACGGGCCAUACACCUACGGGUGGCAGCAACCGGGAAUUGUACGCAAUGGACGAAAGUCUGACGUCGCGACGCCGCGUGAGGGAUGAAGGCCUUAGGGUUGUAAACCUCUUUUGCCGAGUGGGAGACCACUCGGAGAAUAAGUACUUGCUAACUCUGUGCCAGCAGCAGCGGUAAUACAGAGAGUACAAGCGUUAUCCGGAUUUACUGGGCGUAAAGCGUUUCGUAGGCGCUUCACUAAGUUAUGUUUCAAAGACCGGGGCUCAACCCCGGGAAGGGAUGUAAUACUGGUGGAGUCAGAAUUAUGUCGGGGCUAUUGGAACUGUCGGUGUAGGGGUGAAAUCCGUUGAUAUCGACAGGAACUCCGAGGGCGUAGGCAGAUAGCUAGGCAUAUAUUGACGCUGAGGAACGACAGCUAGGGGAGCGAAAGGGAUUAAAUUUAGUCCCCUUUAAUGGAGACAUUAAUGAAAAAUUUGGCUAUAUCGGUGAAAUUCCUAAACAAAGACUACAAAUCUUUAGGAGAAUACCGAGGGAACCUUUAAUAUUUUAUAUUUUAGGACACCGUAGAGACUACACGCCAAACCCCUGAUUUAUCAGGGUGAAGAUAUAGUCCGAUCUUCGUAGUAAUACGAAGAGUUCUAUAGAAAUAUAGAGCCGCCACAAGACAACUUGUGGUUAGUAACUCAUUUAAUCUUUGAGUGAAAGUAACAUACAUGUAGAGACCCCUGUAGUCCUAGCCGUAAACGUUGCUCGCUAGCUUUCUCUAUGUAAUGUAGAGGGGGCGUAAGCUAACGCGUGAAGCGAGCCGCCUGGGGAGUACGAUCGCAAGAUUAAAACUCAAAGGAAUUGACGGGGACCUGCACAACCAGCGGAGCAUGUGGUUUAAUUCGAGACGAACCGAAGAACCUUACCCAGAUUUGACAUGUAAGGCAUUUAGGCAACCAGAGAUGGAUGCUGAUCUUUAUAAAUAUAGAGAACUUUACACAGGUGUUGCAUGGCUGUCGUCAGCUCGUGCCGUAGGGUGUUCCCUUAAGUGGGGUAACGAGCGCAACCCCUUUCGUAUGUUGAAUUGUUCAUACGAUACUGUCGGCCUUUGGCCGGAGGAAGCGGGGACGACGUCAAGUCAGCAUGGCCCUUAUAUCUGGGGCUACACACAUACUACAAUGGAGCCGACAAUGGGUCGCCAAGCCGUAAGGCGGAGCUAAUCCCAUCAAACGGCUUCUCAGUGGGGAUUGUGGGCUGCAACUCGCCCACAUGAACGUGGAGUUGGUAGUAAUCGCGGGUCAGCUAAACCGCGGUGAAUACGUUCUCAGGUCUUGUACACACCGCCCGUCAAGUCAGCAAAGUUGGGGGCAGCCGAACCUCGCGUGAGCGGGGGAAGUUGACACCAGCGAUGAGGAUUAAGUCGUAACAAGGUAUCCCUACUGGAAGGUGGGGAUGGAUCACCUCCUUU